UAUCUGCUAAUAUUGCCUUUUCAUUUAUGGUUAACCUUAUUGUCAUAUCUAUCCAUCUAAUACAUAUACAUCAACUAAUUAUAAACCAUUACCUUCGGUUUAUAUUUGUUGUGGUCCCUAUAUUUUUUAUUUAUUUUUCAAGUGUUCAUUUUAUCCAUCAAUUAAUUGAUUUCAUUAAUGUUUAAUUUUUCUUUUUUGAUCAAAAAGGGUUGAGAUCCUCCGCAGAAACGCAAGAAUUUGUUCAGAAAAUGUCUUAAUCUUAAUAUUAGACUUUUUAAAGCCCUGUUUUUGAAUUACCAAGUCAUCUAUUUCUUGUGAGACCUGAAAAUGUUGACCAUGCGAUGGAGAUUUCAUUGCAACUGUGUUACUUUCUCACGUCUGAUGAGUGAUGAGGGCUUUGGGGUAUUAGUGGCUGAUCUUGAGGAGUAGCUCUAGGGGCACAACAGUUUUGGUUCGUUUUGGGAGGUCAUAUGAGCCUAUUCAGGUUGAGCACAAAAUUCAAGCUCCUUAAGUUGGGCUCGCCAUCUCUCUAAUAUUGAACAGGCUGAAAGCUUUCUUCAGGAAUUUAUAAUUUGGGUGUAAGAAGGUAUAAAUUGUAAAUAUUCAUACUUUUAUGAAAAUUAUUAGAAGUUAGAGGAUUAGGCUGUGGUGUAUGAGAAACAACAAAUAUAUAAGGUAGUUGGUAUCAUUAUAUUCAAGGUUUUAUGUAGACUUUGUGAUGCAUUGUAUGUUUUGUUUAUCCAUUUCGUUUGCAAUGGAUGGUGUUAUGUAUAAUAAGUUAUCUAUAUAAAUCUGUCAAAAACACUGGGUUUAUCGAAAGUGCACUUUCAGUAGUGUAUUUUGACAAAAAAAUUGAUUUUGAUUCAAAACAAAUAUGAAUUAAAUUUCUUAUUGUUUGAUUAAUUUUUUAUUUGACUAU
rnacentral:lncRNA from 1 species